AACCCAUUUUGAGGAUAUUUCCGCAGGAGCUCCUUGAACCUAUCCCAUGUCUGAAAAAGAGAAUCCAAUUCAAUUUGCACAAAAGAAGAUAUUUAAUUUCUAAGCUU